rnacentral:rRNA from 1 species
UGCGUAGGCGGUUCUCUAAGUCGGAUGUGAAAACUCUGGGCUCAACCCAGAGCCUGCAUCCGAAACUGGAGAGCUAGAGUUCUGGAGGGGGUAGCGGAAUUCCUGGUGUAGCGGUGAAAUGCGUAGAUAUCAGGAGGAACACCGGUGGCGAAGGCGGCUACCUGGACAGAAACUGACGCUGAGGCACGAAAGCUAGGGGAGCAAACAGGAUUAGAUACCCUGGUAGUCCUAGCCCUAAACGAUGGAUACUUGCUGUAGCUGGGAUUGAAUCCAGCUGUGGCGCAGCUAACGCAUUAAGUAUCCCGCCUGGGGAGUACGGUCGCAAGGCUGAA